GAGACCCGUGCCCACUGUUACCAGCAUAUCCUCCGGGAUGAUGGGUACUCUGUGGGGACCGCCUGUGUUAAAUCGGAGGAAGGUGCGGGCCACGGUAGGUCAGUAUGCCCCGAAUUUCCCGGGCUACACGCGGGCUACAAUGAAUGGGACAAUGGGUCCCUCCCCUGAAAAGGGCUGGUAAUCUCACAAACCCAUCCGUAGUUCGGAUCGAGGGCUGUAACUCGCCCUCGUGAAGCUGGAAUCCGUAGUAAUCGCGUUUCAAUAUAGCGCGGUGAAUAC
rnacentral:rRNA from 1 species